rnacentral:rRNA from 1 species
UACGUAGGGAGCAAGCGUUGUCCGGAAUCAUUGGGCGUAAAGCGCGCGUAGGUGGCUCUAUAAGUCCGUUGUGAAAGCCAAAGGCUCAACCUUUGAAAGCCGAUGGAUACUGUAGAGCUAGAGUCCGGAAGAGGCGAGUGGAAUUCCUGGUGUAGCGGUGGAAUGCGCAGAUAUCAGGAGGAACACCGGUGGCGAAGGCGGGUCUCUGGGCAGUAACUGACGCUGAGGAGCGAAAGCGUGGGGAGCGAACAGG